GACGAACGCUGGCGGCGUGCUUAACACAUGCAAGUCGAACGGAAAGGCCCUGCUUUUGUGGGGUGCUCGAGUGGCGAACGGUUGAGUAACACGUGAGUAACCUGCCCUUGACUUUGGGAUAACUUCAGGAAACUGGGGCUAAUACCGGAUAGGAGCUCCUGCUGCAUGGUGGGGGUUGGAAAGUUUCGGCGGUUGGGGAUGGACUCGCGGCUUAUCAGCUUGUUGGUGGGGUAGUGGCUUACCAAGGCUUUGACGGGUAGCCGGCCUGAGAGGGUGACUGGCCAAAUUGGGACUGAGAUACGGCCCAGACUCCUACGGGAGGCAGCAGUGGGGAAUAUUGCACAAUGGGCGGAAGCCUGAUGCAGCAACGCCGCGUGCGGGAUGACGGCCUUCGGGUUGUAAACCGCUUUCGCCUGUGACGAAGCGUGAGUGACGGUAAUGGGUAAAGAAGCACCGGCUAACUACGUG
rnacentral:rRNA from 1 species